UACGUAGGGUGCAAGCGUUGUCCGGAAUUAUUGGGCGUAAAGAGCUCGUAGGCGGUCUGUCGCGUCGGCUGUGAAAACUCGGGGCUCAACUCCGAGCUUGCAGUCGAUACGGGCAGGCUAGAGUUCGGCAGGGGAGACUGGAAUUCCUGGUGUAGCGGUGAAAUGCGCAGAUAUCAGGAGGAACACCGGUGGCGAAGGCGGGUCUCUGGGCUGUAACUGACGCUGAGGAGCGAAAGCGUGGGUAGCGAACAGG
rnacentral:rRNA from 1 species